CGCACGGGUGAGUAACACGUAUCCAACCUGCCGUCUACUCUUGGACAGCCUUCUGAAAGGAAGAUUAAUACAAGAUGGCAUCAUGAGUCCGCAUGUUCACAUGAUUAAAGGUAUUCCGGUAGACGAUGGGGAUGCGUUCCAUUAGAUAGUAGGCGGGGUAACGGCCCACCUAGUCUUCGAUGGAUAGGGGUUCUGAGAGGAAGGUCCCCCACAUUGGAACUGAGACACGGUCCAAACUCCUACGGGAGGCAGCAG
rnacentral:rRNA from 1 species